rnacentral:misc_RNA from 1 species
AAGUCGUAACAAGGUUUCCGUAGGUGAACCUGCGGAAGGAUCAUUAACACGUAUCCAACGUUAAAAACACCCCUGUGAACCAGCAAUCCCUGGUAAAUCAUUGUCUGACCAGAUUUUGAGUCCGCGACUUCUGACGUGACGCGAAGAAUGUCUGGAAAAAUGGCAUCUGUGAGAUGAAGCUAUGAGGUAAGAUGCACUUGUGUGCACAAGUACCCAUGAAAGCGCUACAUGGAAUACGUAAGGAGCGACGCUGUAACGUUUGCUGUAGGCCCACACGGCCGGCAUCAUGGUGCCUGGACUUCUGUCCCACAGAUCGGUUAGAUCCCGGUCCUGAUGUCAAUUUAGCGAGGACUAAAAGCCUCGCACCAAAAACCGAACAACUGUUAUCAAUGGAUAUCUUGGUUCUC